GCUGGCGGCGUGCUUAACACAUGCAAGUCGAACGAUGAUCCCAGCUUGCUGGGGGAUUAGUGGCGAACGGGUGAGUAACACGUGAGUAACCUGCCCUUGACUCUGGGAUAAGCCUGGGAAACUGGGUCUAAUACCGGAUACGACCAUCUGGCGCAUGUCAUGGUGGUGGAAAGCUUUUGUGGUUUUGGAUGGACUCGCGGCCUAUCAGCUUGUUGGUGGGGUAAUGGCCUACCAAGGCGACGACGGGUAGCCGGCCUGAGAGGGUGACCGGCCACACUGGGACUGAGACACGGCCCAGACUCCUACGGGAGGCAGCAGUGGGGAAUAUUGCACAAUGGGCGAAAGCCUGAUGCAGCGACGCCGCGUGAGGGAUGACGGCCUUCGGGUUGUAAACCUCUUUCAGUAGGGAAGAAGCGAAAGUGACGGUACCUGCAGAAGAAGCGCCGGCUAACUACGUGCCAGCAGCCGCGGUAAUACGUAGGGC
rnacentral:rRNA from 1 species